UACGUAGGGUGCGAGCGUUAAUCGGAAUUACUGGGCGUAAAGCGUGCGCAGGCGGUUUUGUAAGCCAGAUGUGAAAUCCCCGGGCUUAACCUGGGAAUGGCAUUUGGGACUGCAAGGCUGGAGUGCGGCAGAGGAGACUGGAAUUCCUGGUGUAGCAGUGAAAUGCGUAGAUAUCAGGAGGAAUACCGAUGGCGAAGGCAGGUCUCUGGGCCGAAAUUGACGCUGAGGAGCGAAAGCGUGGGGAGCAAACAGG
rnacentral:rRNA from 1 species